CUCCACUCUCUUCUAUCCCCUCCUCGGCCACAAAUCCACAAUACCCCCUUUCCCCACACAACACCAUUAAAGUAAGUUUUAAUGGGGCAACAACUCCAUUAAAGUAAUCUUAAACAAGGUUGUUGGAUCCGAAGAGGGAUGCUUUAUGGGUAAUUUUCCUUAUAUUUUGUAGGCUCCAAUAGGAACUUGAAUCUGCUUAAUUUCCAUAAAAGUUUUCGACAAGUUAGAUUCAUCAUCAGUGCUUUAGGAUCAAAAAAAUAGAAAACCAAAAUCUCAUUACAAUGCUGAAACCCAUAUAAAAAAGAAACAGAAAAUUAAGGUAGAUUCAAUUAAAAACGAUUGUGUAGGGGGAAAACUAAAUUGAUAAAGUAAGGGGAGGGAGAGGGAAGGCGGGAGGAAGGGGGCUACUGAGUUCAUGAUGAAGGGGAGAUAGAGAGAGCGGGCUGGGGUAUAGAGAAAAGAGGAGGGGAGAGAGAACAUUUGCAGCCAAUUUAGGUAAACAGUUCAACGAUUGAAAUGGAAUAAGAUUAAAUCAAUGUUUGAUAAUUGAAAAACGCAUUAGCAAGUAACUUUUUUGCCAAACAAUAAAAGAUAAAAGAAGAAAAAAAAAAUCUCUUUGCCUCACGUUUUAGGAGGUAAGAAGGGACAGAAAACAAAGGAAAGAAGAGAAGAGGAAUCGACUGAUUCAAGAGGGGAGAAGAAGAAGAAUCGGUUCAUGCAAGUGGAAGGGGGCUAUAAGAAGUGAGAAAAAAAAAGAAAAAAAAAAAAAAAAAAAAGAAGAAGAAGAAGAAGAAGAAAAGAGGAAAAGAAGAAAAGAAAAGCAAGAAGAGGAAACGAGGUUAAGGUCGGCUGCCUCUGUUUUCCCGGGCUGUCGCAGUUUGGCUUUUGAAACUUUGGGAGAUGGAUAGAAACGAGAUCUCUCACCUCACCUUUCUUCUUCAUUUGAUAUUGUAAUCGAUCUUCUUCCUUCCACCUUCCAGAAUCCAGAAGUGUUUCUUUAUCAUCUCUAUACACUAGGUUAGUUUCUUUGGAGAAAAGGGUUUUCAGAUUCUGGGUUUGGGUUCUUCUUCUUCUUCCCCCGUUUUUGUGAGUUAGAGAAGACUGAAAGAGGGCUUUCGACCUUUGGGUCUUGUUUUUUCUUGAUAAAAUAAUGAGAGAUCUUUCUUGCUGUGGAGUUGACCUUCUUCUUCUCGGUUCUAAGGGUUGCAGAGGCGUGAGGGAGAAACCACUGAAAAAGAGUUUCAGAAGAGGGAAAAUCGCAAGGAGAAGGGGUUUAGGGAGAGAUAAAAUUGCAGAUUAGAGGUGAGGUUUCAGGGGAGAAAAUCGCUGCUUAGAAAGGUAGUUCCAGGGAAGAGGUCCUUGCCGUUAAAGAAGAGGUUUCAAGACGGAGGGUCGCUGGUUAGAAGUGGAGAAUUCUGUAGGAACAGAUCGGUUUCUUCGAUCUUGAGAGAGAACAAAGAUCUACAACUUGGAGCAACCAGCCAUCUUUGAAGAUUAAAGCAAUCCAGUUUUCAGGCAGUGUCUGAAUCUAUUGUCUCAAAGAAUCUUAAUUUUCAAAUUCAUUAUUGCUCAUGUUUCAUUUUAUCCUUACCAACCUUUCCCUUUGAUCUUAGCUGCCAUCUCCUGCAUUUUACAGUUCACUUUGAUAGGUUGAUGUGGGCAUGAUUUGUAACAUGCAUUGACAUCAUAUUUCUUAGGCUGGUAAAUUGAUUCUCUUUCAUCAUUGA